rnacentral:rRNA from 1 species
UACGGAGGGUGCGAGCGUUGUCCGGAAUCAUUGGGCGUAAAGGGCGCGUAGGUGGCCCGGUCAGUUCGUGGUGAAAGCGCGGGGCUCAACCCUGCGUCGGCCAUGAAUACUGCCGCGGCUGGAGCACUGUAGAGGCAGGCGGAAUUCCGGGGUGUAGCGGUGGAAUGCGUAGAGAUCCGGAAGAACACCGGUGGCGAAGGCGGUCUG